AACGAACGCUGGCGACAGGCUUAACACAUGCAAGUCGAGCGCCCCGCAAGGGGAGCGGCAGACGGGUGAGUAACGCGUGGGAAUCUACCCAUCUCUACGGAAUAACGCAUGGAAACGUGUGCUAAUACCGUAUACGUCCUUCGGGAGAAAGAUUUAUCGGAGAUGGAUGAGCCCGCGUUGGAUUAGCUAGUUGGUGGGGUAAAGGCCUACCAAGGCGACGAUCCAUAGCAGGUCUGAGAGGAUGAUCAGCCACACUGGGACUGAGACACGGCCCAGACUCCUACGGGAGGCAGCAGUGGGGAAUAUUGGACAAUGGGCGCAAGCCUGAUCCAGCCAUGCCGCGUGAGUGAUGAAGGCCCUAGGGUUGUAAAGCUCUUUCACCGGUGAAGAUAAUGACGGUAACCGGAGAAGAAGCCCCGGCUAACUUCGUGCCAGCAGCCGCCGCAGUAA
rnacentral:rRNA from 1 species